rnacentral:lncRNA from 1 species
GUGGUGUACAACCAAUGAGAUUACCCGUAGUCCUUGGAUUUUGAAAAUUAAGAAAAAUUAAAUUUGUUGUGUAAACACAGCCAAGUUUGCAAUAUGAUUAUGAUGAACUAAAACCAAAGGUACAUAUAAUAAGAAUGUGUCCAUAGUACACUGAUGCCCCUCUCGCACCAUCAUUUUCUAUGUUCAGUGGACUGUGAAAUUGGAUUCAAAACUCAAAUUGGCUUUACAGUUGGAAAGACAAUACCAUAGGGAACAUCUGUACAAAGUUUCAAGUUGAUUGGAUUUCAACUUCAUCAAUUAAGAGCUGUGCCAUGGGCGCAUGAUACGCCCGUCGCUUUUUCAACGAAUAAAGUUUGAUUACUCCUCAAUGUUAUAUCAGAAAUUUAUAAAAAAAACUAAAGGGAGGUUAUUUUUAUAGAUAUAAACUAGUCACCAAAGUUUCAUGAAAUCUGUUCAAAGCACUUUUGAGUUAUUGUCCGAAAACUGGAAAAUCCCACCUUUUUUUAUGAAUAAAAUCUCAUAAACUUGGAAACUUAAAAUCAAAAAUUUAUAAAAAUCGAAGGGGAGCUUAAGUCAAUAAAAAUAAACAAUUCUACAAAUUUUCAUGAAAUCUGCUCAAAGCACUUGUGACUUAUUGUCCAAAAACUGGAAAAUCCUCCCUUUUUAUAACACGGAAACGUAAAAUUUAAAAUUUAUAAAAAUUGAAAGGGAGCUAGGACUAUGACAGACUGAUGGAUGAACGAACAGACGGACAAACGAAAGUACGGAAGAAUGAAUGGAAGAAUGAACGGACAGACGAACAAACAGACACACAGAACAGGAAACAUAAUGGCCCUCUACUAUCGUAGUUUGGGAAUAAUAAGCUUUCAAAAUAAAUACAUGGUCCAAAUUUAUUAGUAAAUUGAAGCAGAUGAUGCAUAUAACCUCCUUGUUUAACUUAAUGUCUUUUACUGACUUUUGUGGCAUUUUAAAUAGCUACAGAAAGUACAAUUUCGUUAAUAUUAACAUUUUUUAAACUUCAUGCUUUUUUUGUUGAUGCUUCUCUGGCUUAGGUCCAUCCCUGCAAUAUCAUUUGGAUAGACAUACAAACU